rnacentral:ncRNA from 2 species
UGACACGCGCCGCCUUCGCGGACAAAUUGCCCCCGUGCUCAUGGGGAAGCCGGUGUCAAAUCCGGCGCGGUUGCGCCACUGUGACCUGCCAUCCGGCAGGGAGCCAGACCUCCAUGGAAGCGCUUUGCAAU